UACGUAGGGUGCGAGCGUUACUCGGAAUUACUGGGCGUAAAGCGCACGUAGGCGGCUUUGUAAGUUAGAGGUGAAAGCCCGGGGCUCAACUCCGGAAUUGCCUUUAAGACUGCAUCGCUAGAAUUGUGGAGAGGUAAGUGGAAUUCCGAGUGUAGAGGUGAAAUUCGUAGAUAUUCGGAAGAACACCAGUGGCGAAGGCGACUUACUGGACACAUAUUGACGCUGAGGUGCGAAAGCGUGGGGAGCAAACAGG
rnacentral:rRNA from 1 species